CUAAGGCUCCAGAGGAAGCCACGGCUAACUCUGUGCCAGCAGCCGCGGUAAUACAGAGGCGGCAAGCGUUGUUCGGAAUUAUUGGGCGUAAAGAGCGCGUAGGCGGCCUUGCAAGUCAGUUGUGAAAGCCUUCCGCUUAACGGAAGAAUGCCAGCUGAUACUACAGGGCUUGAGUACGGGAGGGGAGAGUGGAACUUCUGGUGGAGCGGUGAAAUGCGUAGAUAUCAGAAGGAACGCCGGCGGCGAAAGCGACUCCCUGGCCCGAAACUGACGCUGAGUGUGCGAAAGCUAGGGGAGCAAACGGGAUUAGAUACCCCGGUAGUCCUAGCCGUAAA
rnacentral:rRNA from 1 species